ACAAGAGAAAAUCUCCGAAUGGGCUAAAUGCAGCGGAAUAAACUGGUCCAGAAUGACCUUGGAAUAAUGUAUAAGGUCUUUUUCCAUAAUCUGAUGCUGAUGUGCGCUCACCCUGGGAAAGUCCAUUCUCUCCUUGUGGACUAGCUGAAAAUUAAAUACCAAAAAGGGACAAAAAGGACUAGCCUUCACUGAUGAGUCAGAGAAUCCACCCACAACCAAAGAGCCGUCAUGUGAAAUUGAUGAGCAAUUUAGCCUAUUAUUAAGGAAUGUGUAGAAGCUAACAGAUGGCAAUGCCAGGCUAUUCAACUGUGCACGGUUUCGCAAAUCCUCAAGAAUUGACUGCUCGACUUCAACAGGCAUCACUGGAAGUGUAAGCUCUGGUUUCACACGAGGUGCCACCGAAACUAUGCUUGUUUCAGAUUUAUUGGUUUUCCCUGUGGCUCCUGCAAUCUUAUCUUUUUUGACCUUUUUAACAGAACCUCCCUGCUUUCCACCUUCCGAAGAUUUUCUCUUGUUAUCUUCGGCAUCUGCAUCCUUGCUUUCUGCUUCAGUUUUAUCUGAUUCUAAAAGUGUUUUCUCCAUGCGCUCUUCAAC
rnacentral:sRNA from 1 species